ACCCACUGCCCUCCCGUUCCACUAGUUCCUCAAUUCCCCCAGUUAUACAACCGAGACAACUUCCGUUCACUGUUCCUCGUUGGACUCUAAUAGAGAACGUACCAGGGCAAUUUAACUUCCGGUCACUGUGCCCCGGACCCGAUUGCAGAAAGUAGAAAUAACUUCCGUCCCCUGUUCCCUGUCAGGCAGCAUUUGAUCGUGGCCCUGUUCUGCAGUGGGUGGGGAAGCAGAGGUAGCCCUGAAGGGUCGGGGUCGCUAGCCAGCAAAUGUCGGGGGAGUGGGAGACGUGCAUGGACGCUGAGAGUUGCUGAUGUCACGGUGAAAGCGGUCACGGUGAAAGCAUGAGCAAGGAGUGACGUGAGGACAGCCGGUCACUGGCUACCAGCCCAGUCUGGGUAUACCCUGGGAAUUGCGGUCUCCAGCCUGCCGCACCUGGUGGUUUCCAAUUGCAGUUCCUAAUGACACUGGGUAGAUGAGAUUGGCCAGCCUGUAGCAGAGACAAAGAAAAGGCGCAGCACCCUGAGCCCAUCCCAGAGGAUUGAAAAGAGACAGGGAGCUAAAACCAAGGGAAAAGAAGUUGAGGGUCAGAGUCCAGCCUCAUUGUGAGAUGGAAAGCGCACCUGAACCAGUGCUUCAUGGGCCCCUCCCCGCCCCACUGCCUACCAAACUUCUCCAUUGACAAGCACCGUGGACCCUGUGGCUGGAAAGAAGAGGCACACUCCCACUUUGGCUGGGCUUGAGCUGAGGCAAGACAAGUCUGAAAAGCAGAGCAGCAGUCCAGAAAAGUGGAGAGCAAUAUUAAGAUGGCGUCUAAGGCAAGACAGUGGAGGGAGACAUGCUGGACAAUGCCAAGGAUUGGGGAGCAAACCAGAUGUGAACCCAGGGCACAGAGAGCUUGGGGGUACACUUGCAGAGGAAUCGUCCAGGAGCCCCGAGUGGAGCAGAAGAUGGAAGAAGUGGACCUGAGCAACCUAGACAUCCUUCUAAGCAGAGAUGAUCAGUCCUCAGUUUUCUGCCUUCUACAUAACUGGCUGCGAGUAAGCGGUCAGUGCUUUGAAUUCCUCAUCCUAGUUUUCUUCAGAGGCCGUGAGCCUCAUUGUUGGGCACAGGGCUCUGUGGGAUUAAGACUGGGAAUGCAACUAUAGUCUGCUAUGGAGAGUGACUAUUUUGGGCAUAGGUGCAACAGGUGCUUUCUAGUUGUAGUCCUAAAGGUGUAAUGGGUUUAGGGUGGAACCCUGGGGGGUGGGAGAUGCAAGCAGAGCCUAUGCAAUGUUGACGACUAAGAUGGUAAUUUCCCCCCCACCCCCUUGUGCUGGGUUUAUUACCAAGGGACAAGAAGUCAAGGGUCAGUCUACUCCCCUCAUGCAAUGGAAAGUGAGCAAGAGCAGUGAGACCAAAAGCAUUGUUGAUGCCAGGCAAGAGCAGUCUAGCUGGGAGUGGAGCGGCCAUCACUGUUGGUGAGAAGUGUCUGGUUUGGUGAGGGCUCUGGUCACAGCCCACCUUGCUCCAGGCCAGGACACUUGUUAGCUGGGGCUGAGUUUGUAAGAAAAGGUUCCUUACUAGCUGUGGCUAUGAGGGAGACAGGGUCCCCAUUUGCAGAAGAUUGGAUCUAGGAGGAUGAUUCUAGGUGCUGAGUUUCUUGCCUUCCUACCAUGUUUCUCUUUUUUCUUAUGUGUUGGUUCGUUCUCUCUCUCACCCUUGCCUCUCCUCAUGCUGUCUCCCUUCACAGGAGUUGUACAGGUGUGCUCAGUGUGCACCCCUACAGGCUAGUUAUCGAGAGCCUGCAGGACUGGGAGGAGGGUGGAAAUGGGGAGGCAGGGAUGGAAAUUCAUGCUGUGGGCAGGGUGUCAUAGUGCUGGUGGGAGGAGGCGGUGACCAGCCAUUUGAGCCAUCAGUGUUGAAUUCAUGUAUUUUACUGCUGAGGGGGUGAUAUGCCUCAGAUGGGAGAGGGAGGCACAUGGGGAGGAUUUUGUGCACCAAUAGAGUUUUGGACAGUGAUGGCUCUUUUAUGGGUUAUUUGCUGUUCUUGCAGAGGAUUGCUCCAGGCCAGUAGAGGAGCAUCUGGAGGAAGUGGACCUGAGCAAUCUAGACAUGCCACUUCUCAUUGGAGUUGAGAAGCUCUUCAGUCCUGUGUUAUGGUCACCGUGAUGGUGGAGGAGCUGUUUUGAUUUUCUGAAAUGAUUUCUGUCCCCCCCCCCCCACCAGUAUUUGAGUAGCAAAGAGCCUCCCUGAGAUCAGAGAGAUGCUUCUCAUUUCCAUGGGAUGCGCUCUGGGGAAGGUAGAGCUCUGCCUUUGGCUAGUAAUUGUCUGGGAGUGUCCCCCUCCUUCCCAUGACUAAAUGUGAGGGAGGGUGACUUACAUAUAACUAGAGAUGCUCUGUAGUUUCUGGUCUGUCACUUGAUGUCCGCCACAGGAGACCACAGUUCUCCAGUUCCAUACUCAACCAUUCCUUUCUUCAGAGCAUCCUGGGUGGGCAUGGGUGUCAUUGGCUGAGGGUGUGGAGAGAUCUGGGUGGCUAUAGUUCCUUACAAGUGAUGACCAUUUUAGGCACUGGGUAGGCUGGAAAGGUAUAUAGAGACAGGGGCUCCAGUGAGAAGCAGCCAGGUGACACGUGUCAGUCUUCCACACAUCAUUGCUGGCCUAGUUUACAAGGGUUCCUUCUCUUUUUAGUUCCUAUUGACUUUGGGUAGAUGAAAGAAUGGCCAACCUGUGGCAGAGACCAAAAGGAGCAGCCACCUUGAGACCAUCAAGGGAGAUGGAAGCCAGACAGUGAUCUGUGGCGUAAGAGCAAAUAGAAAUUUGCUUUAGUUAAGUAUUGAGGGAGGGCUUCAAAGACUCUCUUGUCAGCAUGGGGUGGUCCCUGAGAAAGGCCUUUUUAUUUAUCUGGGACAUGUUAAGCUUGGGGGAAUCCUUUGUGUCCGCUCAAGGAAUUGUCCGGUGCUAUGGAGUCUUCCUGAUGUAUGGUAACUUUGUGGAGAGCACCAUGCCUGUAACCUGACAUGCUCAGUCAUCAACUCUCUUCCUUCUACAUCACUGGGUGAGCUUCCCUGAUCACACCUCUCUACAACUCCAGCUUGCUUCAAGGGAUGUGAGCAGGGGGCCCCAAGAGUAGCCUUUGGCCCGUGUAUUUGCCCACCAGGGUGCAUCACCCAGGACAUGAGGAGGGUCUAGGGUUCAGCACAGCAUCCCGGACUAAUGUGCUCUGGCCUGGGCUCCUGGGUUCUGCUCCUUGAGGGCUGUGCUGGCCCCAUAGCUGGGUCCUGUACCCAGGUGGCUCUUAUGGACUGCAAGCAGUCGCAGAAGUGGCCAUGGCCUCAGAGGGGAGUUGGGGCUGGCACUUCACUGAGGAGGAGCAGGGGGUGGAGCAACAGGGAGGGGCUGGGCCUCCUGGCAAGCAGGGUCACAGCUGCCACAAUUUUCUGUCUGACCACCACCACUGGAAGACGCUGGCACUGCCCCUGCUGGCCACAGGGUGUGGCCACUGGGUGUCACUGCUGCUCCAUUGGAGAGACACUCCAUGCAUUACCCCUCACUAGCCACUGGUGUCACUGCUGCUCCUGAGUAAACAGUCUGUGCAUUACUCCACUGGGUAUCACUACUGCUCCCAGAUGCAUUCUGUGCAUUACCCUGACUGGCCACCCACCAGCUGUCACUGCUGCUCCUGGGGAAACAGUCUGUUCAUUACCCCCAAGUGGUCACCUGGUGUCGCUGUUGCUCACCCAGGGAAAUGGUUCAUGCAUUAUCCUGAUGUUCCACCUGGUGUUACUGCUGCACUCGGGGGAGGGGGGGGGAGGGGGAAUGCUUUGUGCAUUACCUGGAUUGGCCAACCAUUGUCACUGUUGCUCUAUGGGGAAAAUGCUCUGGGCAUAACCCUGACCUUCCACUGGGUUCACUGUUGCUCCAGGGCAGCUGCACUCUGUGCAUUGGCCUCUAAGAUGUGGUAAAGGCUGAGUACAGACUGUUGCUUCCCUCUAGCUGCAGCUUGGUUUCUAAUAAAAGAUUUUCUGCUCAUUUUGAGUACAGGGGGAGAAUUUCCCCAUGUUGGGAGUAGCUGAUCUCCCAUGGCAGGGAGGAGCAUGUCCUUCCUGGUUCCAGGCCUCUGCUCAGGAGGUGACUACAGGUGCUGAGUUUGUUCUUCCUUCAUUACUUCUCUCUAAUGUGUUUGCCAACACUCUUCUCUUCUCCCCCCCUCCCCACCCCUUUGCCUGUUUGUCUAUAGCAUCCUUUCAUAGAUCUGUUCACCUGCAUGUGUCAAGCAGUGAUUGAGAUACAGGUGCCCAUAGCUCUCUGCGCAAAUCUACUGGGGGAGGGACUUAAACCUGCCGCUCCUUCUCAUGUGUGCUUCUAGUGCAGUGUCUUGAUGCAGCAGGGGAACUGUAGUCUACUCCUACCUUUUGUUUGCAGCAUGUGUUGCCCACAUGCUAAUUGGUGGAGUUGGCGGUGUGAUCAGUGUGUGGGUUUUUUUUUUUUUUAAAUUGACAAGGUUGCAAAGACCCACUUGGGCAUUGAAAGUGUAUUCCCCAGAAUGCCCCCUCCUUCCCCUGUUUCUUCCACUAUCCCAUCUCGACUGCAGUACAUUGUUUCCCCAGUAGGAAAAAUUACCCUAAUGAAUAAUUGAUUAAACUUAAUUCUGUUUAACUGAACUUGGAGUUCAGUUUCAGGUUCCUGAGGGUAGGCCACUUGGAGUUAGGCUUAGCCUUUCUAAAGGUAGGCCAUUUCAAGAGCGGGUUAGGGUUCCUAUAGGUAUGCCACUUGGAGUUAGCCAAUGCAUAGGAACCCUAGGGCUGGGAAUACUAAACCUAAUUCAAUGUGGCCUAGCCUCAGGAAAGUUAAUCCUAACUCCAAAUGGCCUACCCACAGGAACCCAAAACUGAACUCCAAGUGGCCCACCCUUAGAAUCCUAACCUAAAGUUUCUCUGAGUAGGCAACUUGGAGUUAGGGUAAGGGUUCCUAUGGGUAGGGCUCCCUGUCCUAGGGUUAGAGUUGAUCUACAUAGGCCACUUGGUGUUAAGGUCAGAGUUCCUAUGUAUUGGCAACUUGUGGAACCCUAACCCAAGGGUGGGGAGUCCUACCCAUUGGAACCCUAACUCUAGGGGGAUAGUACUUCCCACAGGAACAUUAACCCUAAUUUCAAGAAAUCCUCACCCUAAAUCCAAGUUGCCUAACCAGAGGUUCCCUAAUUCUAAGUGGCCAACGCAUAUUAUCCCUAACUCAAACUGCAGCUAGCAUAGGUCCCUAGCCCUCGGGAGUGGAGAACUACCAAUAAGAACCCCACACUUAUGGCGGGGAGCCUCACAUAAAGAAACCCUACCCCAAACUCAAAAUGGCCUACAUACAGGAAUUCUAACCCCAAUACCAACUGGCCUACCCAUAGGAAGCCUAACUUCAGGGUGGGGAGUCCUACCCAGCGGAAUAAUAACUUUAUCUCCGAAUGGCCUGCCGGAGAAGCCUAACCCUAACACAACUUGGAAUUGGGCUUAGGGUUCCUAUCAGUGGAGCUCCUCUCCUGAGGUUUAGGGUUCCUAUGAGUAGCAAUUCCCACUGCAGGGUUACAGUUCCUAUGUACCCCAUAGACCAUUCUGAGUUAAGGUUAUUGUUCCGCUGGGUAGGACUCCCAAACCUGGGGUUAGAGUUCCUAUGGGUAAGCCACUUGCUGUUCGGGUUAGGGAUAAUGUACAUAGGCCACUUGGAAUUAGGGUACCUCUGGUAAGGCCAGUUGGAGUUAGGCUUAGGUUCAUGGGUAGGGUGCCACCGCUAGGUUUGAUUACUAUGGGUAGGCCACUUGGAGUUCAGUUUUAGCAGCCUAGUGGUAGGCAAGUGGAUUUAGGGUCACAAUUUCUAAGAGUGUGCCACUUGAAAUUAGGGUUAAGAUUCCUGUGGGGAGUACUCUCCCCCUAGAGUUAGGAUUCCUAUGGGUAGGCAGGGCUGGCCUUAUCCUGAGGCGAACUGAAGCAGCUGCCUCAGGUGCCAGACUGGGGGUGGGGGGGGGGGGGAUGCCACUAGGACCCAGAGUGUAGGAAAAUUUUGUCUGCUGCUUGUGCCUAUGUAUUCUCUCUGCUCUAGCUGCACAAAGAUGGUGGAGUGCUGUGCUAGAGGAAGGAGGGCAUCAGACAUAACUGGCAGGCAGGAGAAAAGGUGAGAGGGGUAACAGAGCGCUGCAGGAAGAGAGAGCCUGGACUGAUUAACACCAGCUUCUCAGGGAGCUUCCUGUUUCCUGCUGCUUCCCUGAACCCACCUGAGGAGAACAGGCAAUCUCCUGAAGUAGUAGGAGCCAGUUAGGACCUUAAGAUGCGGAUAUCUUCCCUCACGCAGGCCCUGCUAUCAGCCUGCUUAUUUGUCCCCUUCGGCUGAGUGUUGAGAGCCUCUAUACCUGGCACAGAACAGCAGUCAUGAGUGGGGGGGGGAAAAAGAAAACGCCCCUCUGGGGCAGCAUUCAGAAAAAGAAAUAAAGCAAAUGAAGCUUUUCUAUCUAAGCAAGAAGCUCUCCUGAGACACACACGUUCACAGUGAGCCUUCUGUCCCCAGUGAGGAUGAGAGUGGUGAGGAGAUGCCUGAUCUUCCCGUUAAUCAGAGUGCAGGUGACCUGGCAGCUACUGCAGCAUCCAUAUCGCC